rnacentral:rRNA from 1 species
AUUGAACGCUGGCGGCAGGCUUAACACAUGCAAGUCGAGCGAGCGGCGGACGGGUGAGUAAUGUCUGGGAAACUGCCUGAUGGAGGGGGAUAACUACGGGAAACUGUAGCUAAUACCGCGUACCAUAGGAUGAGCCCAAGUGGGAUUAGGUAGUUGGUGAGGUAAAGGCUCACCAAGCCGACGAUCGCUAGCUGGUCUGAGAGGAUGACCAGGCAACAUGGGAAUGAGACACGGCCCCAGAUCCCACGGGAGGGAGCAGGGGGGAAUAAUGCGGAAUGGGGGCAACCUGACGCAGCCAUGCCGCGUGAAUGAAGAAGGCCUUCGGGUUGUAAAGUUCUUUCGGUAGCGAGGCGUUAACUACAGAAGAAGCACCGGCUAACUCCGUGCCAGCAGCCGCGGUAAUUC